rnacentral:rRNA from 1 species
AAGUCGUAACAAGGUCUCCGUAGGUGAACCUGCGGAGGGAUCAUUAUCGAGUGGAGGGUGCUCCGGCGCCCGACCUCCCAACCCUUUGAUUCGAUCAAGACCUCCUUCUGCCUCGGGGGCGACCCGGUCCUCGGCCCGCGGUCCCCCCGGUGGUCACCAACACAACUCCGCAUCAAUGGUCGUCUGAACAUGAAGCGAAUUCAAUCAAAACUUUCAACAACGGAUCUCUUGGUUCUGGCAUCGAUGAAGAACGCAGCGAAAUGCGAUAAGUAAUGUGAAUUGCAGAAUUCAGUGAAUCAUCGAAUCUUUGAACGCACAUUGCGCCCUUUGGCAUUCCGAAGGGCAUGCCUGUUCGAGCGUCAUUACACCAAUCAAGCCUGGCUUGGUAUUGGGCGAUGGGGUCGUCACCGAUCCCACGCCCCAAUGACCCCGGCGGGACGGACCGAAUCUCAGCGUUGUAAAUCAAAAGCCGCUGUCGAGACGGGACGGCCGUGCCGUGAAAACAACCCCCAUCACAAGGUUGACCUCGGAUCAGGUAGGGAUACCCGCUGAACUUAAGCAUAUCAAUAAGCGGAGGAAAAGAAACCAACAGGGAUUGCCCUAGUAACGGCGAGUGAAGCGGCAACAGCUCAAAUUUGAAAUCUGGCGCAAGCCCGAGUUGUAAUUUGCAGAGGAUGCUUCUGGGCAGCGGCCGGUCUAAGUUCCUUGGAACAGGACGUCAUAGAGGGUGAGAAUCCCGUAUGUGACCGGCUGGCACCCUCCACGUAGCUCCUUCGACGAGUCGAGUUGUUUGGGAAUGCAGCUCUAAAUGGGAGGUAAAUUUCUUCUAAAGCUAAAUACCGGCCAGAGACCGAUAGCGCACAAGUAGAGUGAUCGAAAGAUGAAAAGCACUUUGGAAAGAGAGUUAAAAAGCACGUGAAAUUGUUGAAAGGGAAGCGCUUGCGACCAGACUUGUCGGCGGUGUUCCGCCGGUCUUCUGACCGGUCUACUCGCCGUCGGCAGGCCAGCAUCAUCUGGGGCCGCCGGAUAAAGGCUUGGGGAAUGUAGCUCCUCUCGGGGAGUGUUAUAGCCCUUCGCACAAUACGGCGCGCCCCGGGUGAGGUCCGCGUCUCGGCAAGGAUGCUGGCGUAAUGGUUGCAAGCGGCC